AUCGUAAACGCUUUGCCGGUGCACAUUUCAUUUAAAAAAUAUUUUAUUGUUAUAAAUAAUAAAGUGUUUGGAGUUUACUUGGAUUGGGUAUAUUUAACGGCAGUAUGUAGGGAAAACCAUCAAUCUCAGUUCUGAAACCAUAUCAAGAGUUGUGAUAUUUCAAUGCAUAUGCACCUAUGUAUGUACGUGUCUUCAUUUACUGCUGCUUCUUUUUCUAUAAAUAUGUUUAGAUACGUAUGUACAUAUGUACAUGCGUGUAAAUGCGCACAUUUCUUAAUCUGCAACUCCUUACAUUGUUCAUUUUUUUUUUUUUACAAAAUUUUAGUCUCGUAUACUGUAAACAACGCCUGAUACAUGAUUUCAGCAUAUGACGUGCUCGCUAUUAGUGCACCAAACAACAUAUUACUUUGCUUAAACUUUAUAAAGAUAACGUGGUGAAAUUAUAUGAAAUGAAGUUUUGCGAAUCAUGUUGAAAGGUAGUGUCAUGCCAGCGAGUAAUUUCGCGGUACCGCCUGUAAACAGGGAUGCCACAUUGCAGAAAAUAAAAUAAAUAAAGAAUUGUUAUAGCAUUAUAGGUAUAUGAUUAAGUCUUUAAUUUUGUAGUCUUUAGUUGAAAAAAAGUAAAAUUUUGCAGUCGGACGCAAACGGUGGUAAUAUUCUAUGACAGUCCAGGAACAGCAUAUGAGGCUACCCGACAAAUGUAUUAAGAGCACCACCUUUAGUACAUUUGCACUACAUUUGACAACUAUGAUUGUAUGUGGUACAUUUUUUGCGAGUGCCCAGAUUAUUGGUCUCCUUGAAUUAAGAGAAUAUUAGCACAUAUUUAAGACUUAAUAUUACGAUACUUUAUGCUUGGUGAAGAUGCACGCUAAGACGGACUCUCGGGAAGGUCCACACACAUGAGACUGGAUUUUCUUGCGCAAAAUAGAUACUGCCGGCAGAUGUUACUACAUAGACUAAGGACCAUGGACCAUGGACUAUACAACGCUUUAUUGCCUCACGUCCGCUACUGCGCGCAGGGCUAUUGUCUUUUCUAGUGGGCAAGCACAACACUAUCGGCAAGGGCUUCUUAUGCUGGUAUAAUUAUUUCCGCACUACCUUAGCAGACACCGGUGAAGACGAUGUUGAAAAAGAUAACGUGUGCUUAGAAUACCACACAGUAGAAUAAAAACAAGUAAGAGGUUCUAGUCGGGAGCUCCCGACUAGGAGAUACCCUGAACCCUCU